rnacentral:lncRNA from 1 species
CGCCAUUAAACAACAAUAACUGCCAUAGAUGAAAUCGCAGUAUGAAAAUGACUCUUCUUGCUAAGAGCAAAUUACGAUUCAUCAAUGUAAAAAUUCCCUGUUUACUUGAAUCUAAUUCUCUCUAUGAUACUUGAAAACGGUGUAACUGUCUUGUUAUCUCCUGGAUAAUUUGAUCCCUAACACCGUCAAUUGCUUAAAUGUAACGAGAAAUCUAAGUCUAUUAGAUCCAAUAAUGGGCCUAAAUUUCUUUUCCAAGAUUUUAACUAUACUUAAAGUAACGAGAAAUCUUCUUUGUAUGCCAAACUUCCAAAAUAUAUUUUGGUCCUAUGUA